GAUGAACGCUAGCGGCAGGCUUAAUACAUGCAAGUCGAGGGGUAUAUGCUUUCGGGCAUAGAGACCGGCGCACGGGUGCGUAACGCGUAUGCAAUCUGCCUUUCACAGAGGGAUAGCCCAGAGAAAUUUGGAUUAAUACCUCAUAGCAUAGCACAGUCGCAUGAUUGAGCUAUUAAAGUCACAACGGUGAAAGAUGAGCAUGCGUCCCAUUAGCUAGUUGGUAAGGUAACGGCUUACCAAGGCUACGAUGGGUAGGGGUCCUGAGAGGGAGAUCCCCCACACUGGUACUGAGACACGGACCAGACUCCUACGGGAGGCAGCAGUGAGGAAUAUUGGUCAAUGGGCGCAAGCCUGAACCAGCCAUGCCGCGUGCAGGAUGACGGUCCUAUGGAUUGUAAACUGCUUUUGUACGGGAAGAAACACUCCUACGUGUAGGAGCUUGACGGUACCGUAAGAAUAAGGAUCGGCUAACUCCGUGCCAGCCGCCGCAGUAAAAC
rnacentral:rRNA from 1 species